AGUGAACGCUAGCGGUAGGCCUAACACAUGCAAGUCGAACGGCAGCACAGUAAGAGCUUGCUCUUACGGGUGGCGAGUGGCGGACGGGUGAGGAAUACAUCGGAAUCUACUUUUUCGUGGGGGAUAACGUAGGGAAACUUACGCUAAUACCGCAUACGACCUACGGGUGAAAGCAGGGGAUCUUCGGACCUUGCGCGAUUGAAUGAGACGAUGUCGGAUUAGCUAGUUGGCGGGGUAAAGGCCCACCAAGGCGACGAUCCGUAGCUGGUCUGAGAGGAUGAUCAGCCACACUGGAACUGAGACACGGUCCAGACUCCUACGGGAGGCAGCAGUGGGGAAUAUUGCACAAUGAGCGCAAGCCUGAUCCAGCCAUACCGCGUGGGUGAAGAAGGCCUUCGGGUUGUAAAGCCCUUUUGUUGGGAAAGAAAAGCAGCAGGUUAAUACCCCGCUGUUCUGACGGUACCCAAAGAAUAAGCACCGGCUAACUUCGUG
rnacentral:rRNA from 1 species